GCCGAGGUGGUGGAAUUGGUAGACACGUACGCUUGAGGGGCGUAUGACGCAAGUUGUGCAGGUUCAAGUCCUGUCCUCGGCACCA
rnacentral:tRNA from 3 species